UACGGGGGGGGUAAGCGUUGUUCGGAAUUACUGGGCGUAAAGGGCUCGUAGGCGGCCAACUAAGUCGGACGUGAAAUCCCUCAGCUUAACUGGGGAACUGCGUCCGAUACUGGAUGGCUUGGAUUUGGGAGAGGGAUGCGGAAUUCCAGGUGUAGCGGUGAAAUGCGUAGAUAUCUGGAGGAACACCGGUGGCGAAGGCGGCAUCCUGGACCAAUAUUGACGCUGAGGUGCGAAAGCGUGGGGAGCAAACAGG
rnacentral:rRNA from 1 species